rnacentral:piRNA from 1 species
UAAGAAUGCAAGGUCCAAAAGUGAGC